rnacentral:rRNA from 1 species
AGUGAACGCUGGCGGUAGGCCUAACACAUGCAAGUCGAACGGCAGCACAGGAGAGCUUGCUCUCUGGGUGGCGAGUGGCGGACGGGUGAGGAAUACAUCGGAAUCUACUUUUUCGUGGGGGAUAACGUAGGGAAACUUACGCUAAUACCGCAUACGACCUACGGGGGAAAGCAGGGGACCUGCGGGCCUUGCGCGAUUGAAUGAGCCGAUGUCGGAUUAGCUAGUUGGCGGGGUAAAGGACCACCAAGGCGACGAGCCGUAGCUGGUCUGAGAGGAUGAUCAGCCACACUGGAACUGAGACACGGUCCAGACUCCUACGGGAGGCAGCAGUGGGGAAUAUUGGACAAUGGGCGCAAGCCUGAUCCAGCCAUACCGCGUGGGUGAAGAAGGCCUUCGGGUUGUAAAGCCCUUUUGUUGGGAAAGAAAUCCAGCUGGCUAAUACCCGGUUGGGAUGACGGUACCCAAAGAAUAAGCACCGGCUAACUUCGUGCCAGCCGCCGCCGUAA